GACUGUGUAAAAUCAGGGGUCAGUUUUCCGUACCGCACCCAGUAACCGGUGACAUUUUCGAAAAUUAAACAGUAUCAACUUAAUCUUAUUAAAGAUGCAUUUCAACAAAGGACUUAAGUAAUUGUGGUCAGCUAACUACAAAGCUCAAAAUAGUCUUGGUAUUGCUCAAAAGAAUCGUAACUGGUGAUAAAGUCGAUGAUUGGAUAAAAUAAAUAUUAAAUAUCUAAUAUCCUAUCUCAUUGUAGACAGAAGUUCUCAGCUUAAAAUGGUUCUAAUUCUUUGAGCAAAAAUAUUAGGAUGAAGAUUUCAAUAGCUGCUUGUUGAAAUUUCUCUGACAAAGUACAUCGCAUUAUUUUCAACAAAUU